CAUGUUGGCAUGGUCCAUUGAUUCAGCCCUGUUUCUUUACAAUGAAGGCAAGUAUUUUACUCUUGAACCACCUUGACUGUUGUAUUAUUAGUACCUUUUGGACAUUUUGUUACCAUAACUAGUGUUGGCACUGCAGCGCGCAUGGUGCAUGGGCGUGGCAAGCAUGACGUGUGGGAGCUGCUGUACAUGCCUGCCUGCAUGAUUGCUGACGCAAUGCGGAACAAAGCAAAAGCAAAAAUAUAUCAGCGACCUCCUUUCCAGAAGCUGCAGCAGAACGAGCAGCAGUUUGACUACAAAUACCCUUACUAACAGAAAUGAGGAGUUGUACUACGAAGCUCGCUCUGUGUGGGACAUUUUUGUCGAACUAUUAUUGUCUAAUAAAGGUUCUUUGUGUUGAG